CGGGUAUUCCGCAACGAGGCGCAACCCUCGCCUUUAGUUGCCAUCACGUUUGGGUGGGCACUCUAAAGGAACUGCCGGUGACAAGCCGGAGGAAGGUGGGGAUGACGUCAAGUCCUCAUGGCCCUUAUGUCCUGGGCUACACACGUGCUACAAUGGCGGUGACAGUGGGAAGCCAGGUGGUGACACCGAGCCGAUCUCAAAAAGCCGUCUCAGUUCGGAUUGCACUCUGCAACUCGAGUGCAUGAAGGUGGAAUCGCUAGUAAUCGCGGAUCAGCAUGCCGCGGUGAAUACGUUCCCGGGAUAU
rnacentral:rRNA from 1 species